rnacentral:lncRNA from 1 species
UGUGCUUGGUGAGCGCGGCGAUCUGCAUCGGCCCGUAGCUGAUGGCGCAGAGGAAGUCGACGUAGUCGGCGGCGGCGAUGUCGUAGACGAGGCCCGGAUCCACCGCCUUGCUGGGGUCGACGUGGCCGGCGCCGACGUCGAGCGGCGUCGCCGGGAGGCCGGUGGCCACGUCGAGGAUGCCGUUGCCGUUGGGGUAGCCGUUGUACGACGUGGUCAUCAGCGCCGAGCGGAUCGCCGCCGGGCUCCAGUCCUGGUGCGCCGCGCGGAGCAACGCC